rnacentral:lncRNA from 1 species
ACUACAAGAAAAACAGCUUUUAGCGACCGACUAUCAGCGACCGAACGCCGUCGCUACUAGGCUUUAGCGACGGAACCCGGUAGCUGAAAACUGUCGCAUAUAAUCUCGUCGCUGGCAUGCACUCCAGCGACAACCUUCAGCGACCGAUUGUUUAGCGACGGCUAUUGGCGACCGAAUUUGUCGCUAGUCUGAGUCAGCACAGGACCGUCGAAUUCCACGUGUCAGCGACCACUUUUGCGACCGAUGGUCGCUACUAUUUGCGACCGCCAUUAGCUACCGAUUGCGGUUGCUAUCUAUUGCGACGGAUUCGCUACCGGAUUUUGUAGCUAAAGUUGGCGACCGAUUGGCUACGGAUUGCCGUAGCUAAUACAGCUACAGGUAUUUGCGACCGCUUUUAG